UACGUAGGGUGCAAGCGUUAAUCGGAAUUACUGGGCGUAAAGCGUGCGCAGGCGGUUUUGUAAGACAGGCGUGAAAUCCCCGGGCUUAACCUGGGAAUGGCGCUUGUGACUGCAAAGCUGGAGUGCGGCAGAGGGGGAUGGAAUUCCGCGUGUAGCAGUGAAAUGCGUAGAUAUGCGGAGGAACACCGAUGGCGAAGGCAAUCCCCUGGACCUGUACUGACGCUCAUGCACGAAAGCGUGGGGAGCAAAGGGG
rnacentral:rRNA from 1 species